UGUCACAUCCGUUUAUUUUCAUGGCGGCCGUUUUUCGGGGUCGGUCGCGUUGUGAAGCGGUCCGUAUUCCGUGCCUUCUUACAGCACUGAACAUCCCACGUGUUGGUUUGACUUCCUGGUACAGGAUACUUGCAGUUGGCAUGGAGUGAUGAAGCAGCAUGGUGUACUUUUAUUAAAAGCACAGAUUUCACCAGUAUAGAAGCAGUUCAUCAAAAAUACAUGUGUGCUGAAAAUAAAGUGCUCCUACCCACA